UCUCUCCUAUGUUGGCGCCAACAUUGGAUAAGCACAAAUAAGGUGGCACCAAAGAGUCCAAGUUUAUCAGGACUCUUUGGUUCUUAUCCAUUUGGGGCGCCCACUUAAAUCCAAUUGAGCUCACACCAUAAUCUGAUUAUGGCACCCAAUUUGAAGUGGUUUGGAUAUGUGGACACUCCACAAAAAUCCUCCAAUGAAUCCUCUUCAGUUUAAGAUCCAUAUGUCAACUUUUGACAGAUGUCCUAAAAUGAAAUUGGCAGGUGCUAGAAAUUAGCAGGUGUUG
rnacentral:lncRNA from 1 species